rnacentral:rRNA from 1 species
UACGGAGGGUGCAAGCGUUAAUCGGAAUUACUGGGCGUAAAGCGUGCGCAGGCGGUUUUGUAAGACUGUCGUGAAAUCCCCGGGCUUAACCUGGGAAUGGCGAUGGUGACUGCAAGGCUAGAGUUUGGCAGAGGGGGGUAGAAUUCCACGUGUAGCAGUGAAAUGCGUAGAUAUGUGGAGGAACACCAGUGGCGAAGGCGAGUCCCUGGACAACUUCUGACGCUGAGGCACGAAAGCUAGGGGAGCAAACAGG